CCUACGGGAGGCUGCAGUGAGGAAUAUUGGUCAAUGGGCGAGAGCCUGAACCAGCAAAGUCGCGUGAGGGAAGACGGUCCUACGGAUUGUAAACCUCUUUUGUCGGGGAGCAAAAGACGCCACGCGUGGCGUCCAGAGAGUACCCGAAGAACAAGCAUCGGCUAACUCCGUGCCAAAAGCCGCGAGAAUACGGAGGAUGCGAGGGUUAUCCGGAUUGAUUGGGUUUAAAGGGAGCGCAGGCGGAAGAUCAAGUCAGCGGUAAAAUUGAGAGGCUCAACCUCUUCGAGCCGGUGAAACUGGUUUUCUGGAGUGAGCGAGAAGUAUGCGGAAUGCGUGGUGUAGCGGUGAAAUGCAUAGAUAUCACGCAGAACUCCGAUUGCGAAGGCAGCAUACCGGCGCUCAACUGACGCUCAUGCACGAAAGUGUGGGUAUCGAACAGGAUUAGAUACCCUGGUAGUC
rnacentral:rRNA from 1 species